rnacentral:lncRNA from 1 species
UUCAUUUGAUCAGAGAUAUUCAUUGAAAGUUAAAGUGUAUAUAUAUAUAUAUAUCCAAAGGAUGAGUGAGUACAAAGAUGUUUCAAUACAUAAGUGUUGACUUAGAGUACAAAAGACAUGGAUAGAAACUAUCCAAGAGUCAAUCAGUCAAUAUGUGUUACAUGACCUAUAAGAUAGAUCCUAGACAAAAACUAAAGAAAAGACAGACUACACUGGAUCUAAUAGAUAUCAUGACUGGA